GCAAAAUGAAUGUCAUCAACCUUAUGGAUCUAAAGUAUAACAACCAAAGUAUGAGGAACAAUGCAGUUCAUAUUCUGUUUGUUGUGUUCUGAGGACUUGCUGUAUAUUAUAUGACAGUUACAGUAGUAAGUAACCACAAGAGGGUACAAUAGGAUAUGAAUAGUAAUUAAAUGAUCCAGUGGUGUAUGAAACAGAUCUGAUGAUCUUCUCUCUCAAAGAGCUCUCUGGAAGAGGUGGAGUUUAAAGCACUGAUAUCUGAUGUGAUCUUCUUAAACUUCAAGUUUGUUAGAGAGAGCAUAAGAAACACACACAAUGAUGCUCCAUUCUGUCAUUCUGCUUUCUGCAUUUGCAUAUGCAACGCAUGGAAAUGAAAUCAAACCAACCAAAACAGAUAAGUUUGCUGAUGAGGGUUCAAGUGUUAAAUUAUCCUGCAGUUAUUCAUCUGCAUAUACUCUUCACUGGUAUCGUCAGUAUCCCGGAUCAGCUCCUCAGUUCAUUGUGCUCAUCUCAGACAGUGCAAAAAAGGCUGAGGAGUCUAAUGUGGAUUCCAGAUUCACUGCCAAAGUCACCAAAGACAAAGAAAACCAUGUGGAUCUGGAGAUCUCCUCUGCAUCUAUAUCAGACUCUGCUCUGUACUACUGCGCUCUGGAGCCCACAGUGACAGGAAACACAAGAACACUGUACAAAAACCUGAUACAAACUACUGCAUCUACAUGA